ACACGUAGGUAACCUGCCUAUAAGACUGGGAUAACUCCGGGAAACCGGGGCUAAUACCGGAUAACAUUUUGCACCGCAUGGUGCGGAAUUGAAAGGCGGCUUCGGCUGUCACUUAUAGAUGGACCUGCGGCGCAUUAGCUAGUUGGUGAGGUAACGGCUCACCAAGGCGACGAUGCGU
rnacentral:rRNA from 1 species